AUCAUUGAAAUAAUGCUGUUUAUUUAUUUAUGUGUGUUUCAUACUAUCACAGGUAAAGUGACACCUGGUAUUUAGAAGAAAGAGCUGCUUUUAAGACAUGGUCUACAGCAGGAGUGUCAAUCUCAUUUUACAUCAUGGGACACACACACUUUGAGCUGGUCCAGAAAAACCUUUUUCUGUCAGUGUAAAGAAGUUGCAUAUUUAACCAUUUUACUACAUGGUGAAGAAAAAAAGCUGAUGUGAGACAUAUUUUCAGAGUUAUCUGACAUACUUUAUGUCAAAAAAGUGAUUCAUGGCCCACAUGUCAAAUGAUAUAUGACAGGAGAAGUAAUACAAUAAGUAACACAAAUUUAAGACAGUUGUAACUUUCAUGACAUAUCAUAAAAGUAUUAUAUUUCAUAACUUGUGUCAUGGGCCUGGGUCUGUGACCCGGGGAUCAUGUGUUACUUUUGAGUUUAAUGAAUAUUAUGAGUUUUAUUUGUCUUUCUUAAUCAUUUAUGGUUGUGGUGUGAUCUGCUCCUGGUUCCUCGUAUCCCCCGUGUGUGUUGUUGUGUCAGUUUUGCUGCCCCACCAGGCCUGGAGAGUCCCUGCCUUGGAGCCAGCCACACCUGCGAUAAUCACUCACCUGUUGCCAAUCUGCCUAAUCAAGGAGCCCUACUUAAGAGAGCAGUGGAGCAGCAGUCUGUGUGGGAUUGUUGAACUAGAAAUACAGGUGAUUACAGAAACGUGUGAAGGGAGCAGCCCACUGUUGAACACAGUUACCGAGGGGGACAAAACACUACCACGCAUCACGGACAGGAAUCACGGCAUGGGGAAUUGGGAGAGCACACACUGUGGAUUGUUGGCACUGUUUUCUGUGUAAAUAAACACACUUUCUCCAUUCUAAAAGUCCAGCAUUUGGGUUCUCCUUCAGCCAACCUUGACAACUUGGUUGUACUUACCACAACAAUAUGAAAAUUAAAUUGGAGGAUGAAAAUAUAGUGAUGGAAUAGAAUAAUGAAUAAUAUGUUUGAGAUAUGUAACAGAAAUAAAUUAAUUGUAGAGCAAUAAUUCAUAAUGUGUUGUUGCCAUCCAUCCAUUCCUCCAUUCUCUACCACUUAUCCUUUUCAGGGUCGCGGGAGGACUGGAGCCUAUCCCAGUUGUCUUAGGGCAAGAAGCAGCAUACACUCAAGACAAGUCGCCAGUCUGUUGCAGGGCUAACACAUAGACACAGACAACCAGUUGUACUCACAUUCAUCAAAAUAGUGAUUUCCACCCACACUCAGCCCAAUGGCCAAUUUAGAGGUUCCAAUUAACCUAAUCCCACUAACUGCAUGUCUUUGGACUGUAGAAAGAAGUCAGAGUACCCAGAGGGAAUACAAACAUGGGACAACAUGUAAAUUACACACAGAAAGUCCCCAGCCCGAUGGUAGAAUUGAACGCAGGACUGUAUUGCUGUGAGGCAACAGUGCUAACCGCUGCGCCACCCCCAUGUUGUUGCCUUUUAAAACAAAAAGUUUACUAGAGGCUGCAUGCCCACUUGGAAAUCUAUAAUUAGCUUUUAUUUGUUUAAUAUAGUGCUGUUAGUCGAUUUAAAAAAAUUACUAAUUAAUUGCACAAUUUUCUGUAAUUAAUUGUGUAAUUGCGCAAUGAGUUGAUCAAUAGCCUGGCUGCAGUUACAUUUUUUUCAACUUUAUAUUUAAGCUUGUAACAGACAUUUAUGCAAUCUAAUGAAGUAAAUGCAGAAUAAACACACAGAAUGUUGAAUGCUUAAAUUCAAAGAGAAUUUGAAUAGUUUUCAUCAGUCUUUUAACACAGGUUCUCUCCUGUGAAAUACAACUUUUUAAAAAAAAAAAAAAACCUUCACUAGUAUAUACUAAUAUAUAUUAGUGCUGUCAAACAAUUACAAUUUUUAAUCAGAUUCAUCAC
ensembl:lncRNA